rnacentral:rRNA from 1 species
AUUGAACGCUGGCGGCAUGCUUUACACAUGCAAGUCGAACGGUAACAGGGUGCUUGCACCGCUGACGAGUGGCGAACGGGUGAGUAAUGCGUCGGAACGUGCCGAGUAGUGGGGGAUAACGCAUCGAAAGGUGUGCUAAUACCGCAUACGUACUGAGGUAGAAAGUGGGGGACCUUCGGGCCUCACGCUAUUCGAGCGGCCGACGUCGGAUUAGCUAGUUGGUGAGGUAAAGGCUCACCAAGGCGACGAUCAGUAGCGGGUCUGAGAGGAUGAUCCGCCACACUGGGACUGAGACACGGCCCAGACUCCUACGGGAGGCAGCAGUGGGGAAUUUUGGACAAUGGGCGCAAGCCUGAUCCAGCCAUGCCGCGUGUCUGAAGAAGGCCUUCGGGUUGUAAAGGACUUUUGUCCGGGAGCAAAUACCCAGUGCUAAUAACGCUGGGGGCUGAGAGUACCGGAAGAAUAAGCACCGGCUAACUACGUGCCAGCAGCCGCGGUAAUAC